rnacentral:lncRNA from 1 species
GUCCUCCUACAAGCUGGGGCACACCUGGGGCUCCUUCAAUGCAACAACCUGGUUAUGGUUAUGUGCAGCCGGGAGCAUAUCCUGGUCAAACACCUCAGUAUAACAUGUCUCAGCCUCCUUAUGGUGGCUAUCCUUCCCAACCAACACCUGGUGGAUAUCCUGGCAAUUGGGACCAGACACCAACACAGCAAACUAGCCAGGGAAGUGGUUAUGAUUACUACAGUCAACAACCAUCCUCUCAGCAACCACAAGCCCCUGGUGGUUCAGCAGCACCAGCAGAUAGUACUGGUUACAGUUACAGUCAGCCACCAGCUUCUGGCUAUAAUCAGCAGGGCCAAGGUUAUGCUCAAGAUAGCUAUGGUGGAUACCAUGCACCUCAGUCAGGCUAUGGGCAGGCAGCGCCAUAUGAUCAGCAACAAGGCUAUAAUUCUGCAGCUGGUUAUGGUAAUGUGAACAACACAAGUCAGGAGGGUCAUACUCCUUCUUAUGGAGCUCAAGGAGAUUCAACACAGGCUCCUCCACCAGUCCAGUCAUCUGCUGCGAUGGGCCAGCAGGGUUAUGGUACCGGCCAGCAGCCUAGUCCAAACACUGCCAGUUAUCCACCACAAGGAGCUACUCAGCCCAGUUAUGGCGUGCCUCCAACUUCGCAGAGUGGCUAUGGGAGUCAGGUCCCACCCCAGUCUGGGUAUGCUGGCUAUGGGAUGCCUCAAGCACAGAAACCUCUUGCCAAUCCACCUGCUUAUGGACAGACU